rnacentral:rRNA from 1 species
AUUGAACGCUGGCGACAUGCCUUACACAUGCAAGUCGAACGGUAACAGGUCUUCGGAUGCUGACGAGUGGCGAACGGGUGAGUAAUACAUCGGAACGUGCCUAGUAGUGGGGGAUAACUACUCGAAAGAGUGGCUAAUACCGCAUGAGAUCUACGGAUGAAAGCAGGGGAUCGCAAGACCUUGUGCUACUAGAGCGGCCGAUGGCAGCUUAGGUAGUUGGUGGGAUAAAAGCUUACCAAGCCGACGAUCUGUAGCUGGUCUGAGAGGACGAUCGGCCACACUGGGACUGAGAAACGGCCCAGACUCCUACGGGAGGCAGCAGUGGUGAAUUUUGGACAAUGGGCGCAAGCCUGAUCCAGCAAUGCCGCGUGCAGGAUGAAGGCCUUCGGGUUGUAAACUGCUUUUGUACGGAACGAAAAGCCCCGGGUUAAUACCCUGGGGUCAUGACGGUACCGUAAGAAUAAGCACCGGCUAACUACGUGCCAGCCGCCGCAGUAA